CAGAGGGACAACAAACACACACCUCGUUGCCUUUGUUUCAGAUAUUUGAAGAUCAUUCGUGUUCACCCAAGCUCGAAGUUCGAUCAUUGAGCUCGAGAUUAUUCAGGUACUAUUUUUUGGUAGCAUCAUUGGCGUCGUCUGUAGGAAACGCUACCAAAAGUCAUGGUCAAUACACGUUCAGGUCUUCCUCCAGCAAGCUCAUUCGUCCCGGACAACCCUCCUCCUUCUGAAGAACGCCAUGUCCCUCAAGAAGAAUCGUCGGAGAUGCCAGCACCUUUUUUAACCUGUUGUUUCCGCCGGAGCUUUUGAGGAACUUCCCUACCAGGUGGUUGCAUUAACCCAAUUGUUAAGCUAGAGAAAUUCGCACCCAUCACAUACCCUAACCCCCGAAGGUGGUUUUAUGGCAGACGUCUGGGCUCUAGUCCAUCGUACAACUCUUGAUGACGGCCGACGUGAUCCAAGAAUCAAGCUUGAAAACGACGAGUUCGAGUCAAGACCCGUUGAUUAUCAACUGAUGACGUGAUCGAGAGCAAAGCAAGUGAAACAAGCGAUGGGAUUACUCGUUCAAGAAACCAUUGAUGGGACGAUGUUCUGGACUCAAAAUGAGACAAGUUUCAUGUUCGGGUCGAAAGCCGAAUUAAAGUGGAUCAACUCAAUACAAGUGGACGAAAACGGAGGUUAAAGUAACAACCAUGCAGCCGCAUUGUUUUAAAGUGGUGCGGCCACACAGACCCAUGCAGGGUUUUCUCGAGGGGUGACAGUUUCUUCCAUGCGACCGCAUGGAACAAAAAUCCGGCAGAAUUUUCCUAUUCUGCGAAUUUCCUUAUUUUGUUAGAAUUUGAUAUCAAUUAGACUUCUUUCCAUAUUUUGAUGAUUUUGC
rnacentral:lncRNA from 1 species